rnacentral:rRNA from 1 species
UACGUAGGGUGCAAGCGUUUGUCCGGAAUUAUUGGGCGUAAAGAGCUCGUAGGCGGUCUGUCGCGUCGGAUGUGAAAAUCCAGGGCUCAACCCUGGACCUGCAUUCGAUACGGGCAGACUAGAGUUCGGUAGGGGAGACUGGAAUUCCUGGUGUAGCGGUGAAAUGCGCAGAUAUCGGGAGGAACACCAGUAGCGAAGGCGGCACUCUGGGCCGGUACUGACGCUGAGGAGCGAAAGCGUGGGGAGCAAACAGG